AUCUACAGUUAUUCCUUCCUGAGCAUUCCUGAUCUUAUGUGACCUCAGAAGCUAAGUAAGGCUGAGUCUGCACUUGGGAGUAAAAUAUUGAAAAGUUCAAAAGGAAGUCCCUUUGUAGUGGAGCUCAGUCUGUACCUC
rnacentral:rRNA from 1 species